rnacentral:tRNA from 1 species
GGCCCCGUCGCCAAGUGGUUAAGGCGCGCCUCUGGCAAGAGCGUAUACACCGGUUCGAUUCCGGUCGGGGCCU